rnacentral:rRNA from 1 species
AUUGAACGCUGGCGGCAUGCCUAACACAUGCAAGUCGAACGAGUGGCGGACGGGUGAGUAAUGUCUGGGACACUGCCCGAUGGAGGGGGAUAACUACUGGAAACGGUAGCUAAUACCGCAUACCAUCGGAUGUGCCCAGAUGGGCUUAGCUAGUAGGUGGGGUAACGGCUAACCUAGGCGCCGAUCCCUAGCUGGUCUGAGAGGAUGACAAGCCAAACUGGAACGGAGACACGGUCCAGACUCCUACGGGAGGCAGCAGUGGGGAAUAUGGCACAAUGGGCGCAAGCCUGAUACAGCCAGGCCGCGUGUAUGAAGAAGGCCUUCGGGUUGUAAAGUACUUUCAGCGAGGAGGCGUUACUCGCAGAAGAAGCACCGGCUAACUCCGUGCCAGCAGCCGCGGUAAUUC